GCACGUGUAGCUCAAUUGGUAGAGUUCCAGAUUUCCAAUCUGGCUGUUGCGAGUUCGAGGCUCGUCACGUGCUCCA
rnacentral:tRNA from 1 species